GCCGAGAUGGUGGAAUUGGUAGACACAAGGGACUUAAAAUCCCUCGGUUCUUUAGAACUGUGAGAGUUCAAGUCUCUCUCUCGGCA
rnacentral:tRNA from 1 species